GGGUUGUGCUGUGUCCGGCAGGAGGGCGUUCCGCUGAACCCCCUCCUUCAGGGCUCGGUUCUGCCGCCGUGUGGGAGCUGUGGUUCUGCCGGAGCCGAGCUUCGGUCCCGGGGUGUUCCAGGGCCCGGGCUCCGCUUCCUGGUGCGUUCAGAGCCGGCGGAGGAGGCCAGGCUGGCGGACACGGAGGCUGCCCGUCCCCGCUGAGGGGGGGAGCUGCAGGACGGAAGGCUCUCCGGUUUUUCUCUCUCCGUGGUGAUUUGAUAAGGGGGGGUGGCUGGCACUCCUAUGGACCCCACCCACCUUGGAGGGGACAUGUCACCUUUGUACAUGCCGAGGAAGAGGAAGUCUGUCCAGACACAACCCAAAGCUGUUCAGAGAUUUCCAGAAAAAGCAGACGAGCUGAGUCCAGCAGAGCACC